UACGGAGGAUCCAAGCGUUGUCCGGAUUUAUUGGGUUUAAAGGGUGCGUAGGCGGAUAGGUAAGUCCGUGGUGAAAUCCUGCAGCUUAACUGCAGAACUGCCAUGGAUACUAUCUAUCUUGAAUGUCGUGGAGGUUAGCGGAAUAUGUCAUGUAGCGGUGAAAUGCUUAGAUAUGACAUAGAACACCCAUUGCGAAGGCAGCUAACUACGCGAUAAUUGACGCUGAUGCACGAAAGCGUGGGGAUCAAACAGG
rnacentral:rRNA from 1 species